GAUUAUACAGACGUACGAGUGCAUUUACAACUACGAAGAAAACAAAGAAGAGGUGUUGAAGGCGUUCGCUGCAAGGAGCAAAGAGAACUACCUAGAAAUCGCUAACAAGGUUGAGGCAUGCUUUGGAACCUGGCAUGCGACCAAGAACAAGGUUCAUCCUAGGUUUAGCAGACGUCGUGAUCCUGCUGUAGGUCACCCGGAGGGAGCUUUUAUGGCACAGUAACAGCUCACUGGUUCCGCUCUAGACGCCAUUGACGCCCUCAUUACUCAAGUGACAAACCUGCGCCAACACGGAGCCACUGGACAUAUCUCCUGGCAUGUUGAAAACACGGAGACAAGCGAAUAUAGUGCAGAAUAAAUGGGGCAUGUCGU